GACGAACGCUGGCGGCGUGCUUAACACAUGCAAGUCGAACGGAAAGGCCCUGCUUUUGUGGGGUGCUCGAGUGGCGAACGGGUGAGUAACACGUGAGUAACCUGCCCUUGACUUUGGGAUAACUUCAGGAAACUGGGGCUAAUACCGGAUAGGAGCUCCUGCUGCAUGGUGGGGGUUGGAAAGUUUCGGCGGUUGGGGAUGGACUCGCGGCUUAUCAGCUUGUUGGUGGGGUAGUGGCUUACCAAGGCGUUGACGGGUAGCCGGCCUGAGAGGGUGAACGGCCACAUUGGGACUGAGAUACGGCCCAGACUCCUACGGGAGGCAGCAGUGGGGAAUAUUGCACAAUGGGCGGAAGCCUGAUGCAGCAACGCCGCGUGCGGGAUGACGGCCUUCGGGUUGUAAACCGCUUUCGCCUGUGACGAAGCGUGAGUGACGGUAAUGGGUAAAGAAGCACCGGCUAACUACGUG
rnacentral:rRNA from 1 species